rfam:Alpha proteobacterium symbiont of Oscarella lobularis scaffold2, whole genome shotgun sequence.
AUGACCGACGCCAAGGUGCCGGACGCGCAGUUCGGUAUGGAAAAAGGCGUGACGGCGCUGGCCGCGGGGCUGGCGGGCGGCAACAUGAUCUAUGAGAGCGCGG